UGAGGAAUAUUGGUCAAUGGGCGAGAGCCUGAACCAGCCAAGUCGCGUGAAGGAAGACAGUCCUAAGGAUUGUAAACUUCUUUUAUACGGGAAUAACGGGCGAUACGAGUAUUGCAUUGAAUGUACCGUAAGAAUAAGCAUCGGCUAACUCCGUGCCAGCAGCCGCGGUAAUACGGAGGAUGCGAGCGUUAUCCGGAUUUAUUGGGUUUAAAGGGUGCGUAGGUUGUUCGGUAAGUCAGCGGUGAAACCUGAGCGCUCAACGUUCAGCCUGCCGUUGAAACUGCCGGGCUUGAGUUCAGUGGCGGCAGGCGGAAUUCGUGGUGUAGCGGUGAAAUGCAUAGAUAUCACGAGGAACUCCGGUUGCGAAGGCAGCUUGCCAUACUGCGACUGACACUGAAGCACGAAGGCGUGGGUAUCAAACAGG
rnacentral:rRNA from 1 species